UACGUAGGGGGCAAGCGUUGUCCGGAAUCAUUGGGCGUAAAGAGCGUGUAGGCGGCCCGAUAAGUCCGCUGUGAAAGUCCAGGCUCAACCCUGGAAUGCCGGUGGAUACUGUCGGGCUCGAGUCCGGAAGAGGUGAGUGGAAUUCCUGGUGUAGCGGUGAAAUGCGCAGAUAUCAGGAGGAACACCGGUGGCGAAGGCGGGUCUCUGGGCCGAAAUUGACGCUGAGGAGCGAAAGCGUGGGGAGCAAACAGG
rnacentral:rRNA from 1 species